GCAAAUAGGAAUCUGCCAAGUUUUAUUCUUUCCUGUAAUGCUCAUAAACGUUAAACUAUUGAUAGGAUAUAUAGUCUUCUUUUAUUAAUCACCAUCUAGAAAGCUUUUAAUGCAAACCAAGUAAAAUUACUUUCACUGUGAUCCCUAGUGUGCUGUGUUGAUUUCAUACUUAUUUGGCCAGUAACAAGUCAAACUGAAAGAUGUUGCUGAAAUUUCUGAAAAUUGGGAUAAUUUAGUGGCCUGAUGUUCUGAUUUUUCAUUACAUCAUUUUAUUGUCCUCAGAGGGGCACUGUAAUAACCUAACAAACCAUCGCUGAGAUUUACUGCCAAAAGCUUUAAUGAAAAGAACCAUGCUUGUGAAAGACCCAUGAUGUGUUGAAAAGUUAACCCAGAAAGUUUUAUCUCAUAGAUUUCCUCCAGUAUUUGCUUCUGGAAGUCACCUCCUUUCUUCUUUUUCUUUUCUUUCUUUGCCCUCCAUUUUAUUCUUCUCAAUCUUGGUCCAUGGUUGCUUGUAUUCACUGUGCUAAUUUUACGCAGCUCACAGCACUCCGUUUUUGGAGGUAAAGGGAUGGGAGAUAGAGCCUAGCAGUUAAUUAAUACAUGGGCAGCUUCAUUGGUUGUUGAUAGACAAAGUAGGAACAAGGGGUCCAUAUGCCCAAGACCACUUUCUCACUACCCUUUGAAUUGAUAAUGGCCACCUCUGGACAAUAUGACACCAGAGGCAUCAUUCCCACUGUAUUCUGAGCAAGCUGAUUAUAUUGUAAUUACUUCCAAAAAUCUGAGUAUUUUAUUUCUCUUAUUUUUUCUUUUUUUAAAAAUAUGCUUUGUUUUUAUUAGUCUUAAAAAAAUACUUUUGUCAAAAACAAAUUAAUAAGUGAGUGAAAAAAAAUGAAAGUAAACCUACAGUUUGGGUUCCUGGAGCCUUUUUUCCCCCCCCCGCUUUUAUUUCUUUGCACUCUGCUAUUUGCCACCACCUCAAACUCUUUUCUACUCAGCAAGCAAGGUCACGGUUGGAAGUUGGGCUGUUAAGAAUUGGCAUAUUCUAAAUUGAUGCCCACAUAGCCACUCUGGAGAAUAUGAAGCUCUGAUAUGCCAUUGUGUGUGUAUUUCUCAGGUUUUGUGAAUUUUAAAACUCUUUGCAGGGGUUCACAUUUAUUUAUGGCCAGCAGCUUGCUUUGGACAAUUUCGAAGCGGCCAUUCUUGACAAAGAGCCUAAGACUCCAUUAUCUUUUGGCUAUGAAGCAGAGCAAAACAUUUGAUUUCUCUGUUGACUCCAAGUGUAUUUAUGAAUCCUGAAUCUGCACAAUUAUUUUCCUGACAGAAAAAAAAAUCAGAAUAUGCUUCUGUAAAGAAAAUAUGAUUGAGCACUUAUAGGUGGUAUUUCAUUCAACUCAUAGCAAUUUCAAAUAAGGACUAUAAGCUCAACUAGAAGCUCAGUAGUGUAACUAUUUCAGGAAGAUUUGUUCUCUCUGAGGAAAGUACCUUGCAUUCUUGGCUCAUGAUUUCAAAAAUAGGAAGAAUUUUGCAGGCCUUUCUUGAAUUGGUACUUUACAGUCAGAUCAAAAAUUAUGUUUAAGUAGAGUCACUUACUCUGAUUUAGAGCAUGUUAUAUAACCUUUUCAUUCCUGUGAAUUGCAGUUAAGUGACCAAGGAAAAUUUGCUUUUUAAAAGCUUCUUAAGGCUAUAAAUUAUUUCCUUUUAACUCAAUACUGCACUUAAAAUUUGCUCUGAUGCUGUGUCUUUCAGCAUAGCGGAAUUGGUCAAGCCCAAGGGACAAGUAAUUUAUAUUGCUAAACCCUAAUCAAGCUCAUGAAUUUUAGAGCCUCUGCAAAGUAUGGGCCUUCGGUGCUGGUCUUACCACUUUUGUGAGCGGGAAAGCAUGUUUCAGUGUGCAGUGGUUUGUUAAUCAGCAGCUCUGUCACUGCACUUUCUGGUCCCCAGUUGGGCCACCCACCUGUACCGCCCUUAUUUCCCCACACUAUCUGAAGUGCUCUUUUAGCCCAGAUUCAGGUGGUGGAAUUAUGUUCUGUUGUGUUCUUUGUGUAGAGAGAAUGUCCAAGUGCCAAAAAUCCAGGCACAUAGGGGGAACACACAGAAAAUAAAACAAGAAAUAGUUUGUCCACUUUGUAUUUCCAAAUGGGCCUUUGUGUGAAUCUACAGAGCUAUGCUGCAGCAUUGAAGAUAUCCAUGGUAUAAAAGAAAUAUUGACAAAUUAAGUCUGUGAGAGAGUAUCUGAAUGUUUGCCUAUCUUAUAGGGAACAACAUAAAAAUGAAGAUUUGAGGGGAUGAGUGUAGACUGGACAGGAUCUGGUUCAACCCCAAACUUUCAGUCAAAAUGUACUAAAGGAUGUUUGAUGCCUCCAGCUAUGUCAGGAACUGGAUGGAGGAGAGGAAGGAGAUCAAGAAGGAAGUUUAGAGGGAUAAAAUAUGUCCCUUUCUAUGGCCAGACUCAUAGUCUAAUGUGAUAGAAGAUUAUUAGAUUGUUAAGAAGAGAAUGUAUUUGUGACUUUGUUACUUACAGAAUAUAUUCCUUGGUGCCUGACACAGUUAUCUGUCUUUGUUGACAGAGGCUGAUGGUUUAUGCAGGCAGACCAGUUGAACAUUCGGUGCUGAGAGCUGUGGGGGCUCCAUUUCCAGACCGAGGUCAUUUUCCCAGCAAGGGACCUAUGAGGGUGGGAGGAGGAACUUCACCAGAGUGAAGGGUGAAAACCUUGGGACAUGGAAUUGGAGGAAUGGACAGAGGCCAAAGACAUGGAGAGCACAAACCACCAAGAAAGAAGAACCCAUUGAAAUUUAGUAGUGAAGGAUCCAUAGUGAGCAUUGAGUUAAACAUCUCCUUGCACAUACAAAGAAACAGUCUGAGAACAAUCUAGUGAAUGACUUACUGGGCCUAGAGUCCACUUAACCUCAGUCUCAGUCUCCUGUUGACACUGCCAUUGGGAGGUAAGGAAACUGUGGGGAGAAGUGGGAAAAGUUCCUGUUCUUGUCUGUGCAGUGGGCAUGUGAUGUAGAUAAGGGGUGUGCAUAGCAUAUGGUAACUUAACUUAAGUUUAAGCCCCAAGUGGCAAGUGUAGGGUAUUAGGUUCUUCUGCAGAUGUCUCUGCACUCUAGAGAAGUGGCUCCAAAAAUGCUUUGGCUUGGAACUAACAGGCUAAUAUGAUAGUGGUUAGAUUGUAGGCUUGAUGGAAAUGCCGAACCACGCCAGCUCCAUCUUUAGGGCCAGGCCCUGCACACAGCACACUCAGCUGCAUGGGGCAGCAGAGGUCCUCGGCUUUCCUGUAGCUCCACCACUAUCCCCGCCACACUUAGCCCUCAUCACAGCUCAGGCAUUGACAUCCUUUCCCACCCCACCUGUCUGGAAGUGAAAAGCUAUAGAUAUCAAUAGCUCCACAACCCAUUUCGAAUGUUGAAAAUUCCCUGAUUGGCAUUUAUAUAUUGACUGUUGUGUUAAAAAAUACUUGGGGAACCUUCUGGCAUCUUGCCAAAAUAACUGCAUUCAUGAAGAAUUAGAAAGUCCAGGAAUGCACAAAGCUCCAAAUAGUGAUAUCUUCUAAUAUUUUCACAUUGAGUAUCAAAAGAACGUGCUCUAAAUGUUUUGAGAUCAUAUUUACCAUGCUCUUUGACUUAUUUGUAUAAACAUUUUGAAGAAAUGCAGAAUUUAAAAGUGAGCUUUUGUGUAUAUGUGUAUUUGUGCAUGUGCAUAUUUUGUAGAGAUGGCUAAUGACAAAUGGAUCCAAUAUUAAUUGCAUUUUCCCAUAAGAGGAAAAUAUUGAGAAGCUCUGUGCUCUGGAAAGAGGAUAGUAUGCAUGUAGCAUAGAGUGACGCACGACAUACUGUGUGAAAUGAUUUUAUCAAGGUUGUUGUUGUCGUUGAAGAUUCAGCUAACAGAUUUUUCAAAGUUCAUCUAAUCAUUUUCAAGGAACAAAGUGAAUUUAUGGAAAUUUAAAUUAGAUUUCAGGUCAGUGCUUAUUAAUGCCAUCAAAAUAAUUUACAGCCAGUGUGUUACAUGGAUGGACCAGAGGAGAAAAAAAAAUAGAAUGCACAAGGAAAAGAAAAGCACCUGUUAGUACAAGUAUUAUCACUGUAUUUCAUUAAAAUUGUCAAAGAUCAAGGGUUGGAUAAUUAUUUCAUCCUUCCUACUUUAACAUUUUCGAAAAUGAAACGUGUGUAGAUCAACCACACACCAUCAUGCAAACACUGCAAUGCACAUGUUAGACUGUGAAAUACCUUGUCUUUAUUGGAAAUUGGAAGAUGAAUUGGGGCACAUCUCCCAAGAAUUCUCCUUUGUAGGAUAUGCUGGAAAAGGGCCCAGGUGUCCCUGUCCAUUUGAUUUUACAGACAACCUCUUGAAAACUCUUAUUUCCAAGAUAUGGAAACAUCUAUGUACUUUUCUUAAACAAUUUAUAUUUAAGACAUUCCUUGGCUUUGAUCCAUGAUGUUUCUCUUAUUUAUUUUUUCUUGCAGUAAUUGCUUUAGCAAAUGUAGGUAUACAGCCCAUCCUAAUUCUAAGCCACUAAUUCUGCCCUGACAUCUUCACUCAGCAAAAAAAAAAAAAAGGGAUACAUUUGUGCUCUGAAAUGUAGCUAUUGUGCCCAAUAAUUGGUACUUGUUUAUUUAAGGAAAAAGGGCAUUUCUUUAUGGAAAUUGGGUAGUAUGCUUUCCUAGCAUCCAUCCCCCACCCUUCUACCUCUGAGGACUACCUCUUUACAUCAUUGAUUCCAAUUCUCCAUUGAAAUGUGUUACAUCCAGUGGGACUGGGGUGGGGAGUAUCAUGGCCUUGCUCAGUGGCCCAGUAAAUUACAGAACUUUCAAGGGAUUAUAAAUUCGCUUCUGGAUACAAGUCUUUGACAAACAGAGAUAAUUGCUGUUACCCAUGAGCUUUCCCUGACUUUGCAGAAAAGAAAAAAAAAA
rnacentral:lncRNA from 1 species